rnacentral:rRNA from 1 species
AAUGAACGUUGGCGGCGUGGAUUAGGCAUGCAAGUCGAGCGAGAACCGUAGCAAUACGGGGACAGCGGCGAAAGGGAGAGGAAUACGCGGGUACCUACCCUCGGAUCUGGGAUAGCCACGGGAAACUGUGGGUAAUACCAGAUAACGUCUUCGGACCAAAGGUGUGAUUCCGUCCGAGGAGGGGCCCACGUCCUAUUAGCUAGUUGGUGGGGUAAUGGCCUACCAAGGCAAUGAUGGGUACGGGGCGUGAGAGCGUGCCCCCGCUCACUGGGACUGAGACACUGCCCAAACACCUACGGGUGGCUGCAGUCGAGGAUCUUCGGCAAUGGACGCAAGCCUGACCGAGCGACGCCGCGUGCGGGAUGAAGGCCUUCGGGUUGUAAACCGCCGUCGGAAGGGAGGAAAUGCCUAGGGGUUCUCCCCUAGGUUUGACCUAUCUUCAGAGGAAGUACGGGCUAAGUUCGUGCCAGCCGCCGCCGUAA